AUGAUAGAAACAACGCCGUAAUGUCACUCAGAGAUCUGUGACGUCACAGAUGAUAGAAACGACGCCUUAAUUUCUGUCACAGGUCCGUGGUGUCACUGAUGACCGUAUCAACGCCGUGACGUCCGUCUGACGUCCCUGACGUCCGCAACGUCCGUCUGAUGUCCCUGACUUGCCGUCAAUUCCCAAGUUUUUCGUCAAUCCUAGAACGUAUCUAGGUGGCCUCCAAGUGUCAGGUGAAACGUCAUAGUGUCCGCAUAAGCGAAUAAAUAUGUUUUUACCUAAUGCUUGUCAAAAUUUUGUUAAUUUUGCAUCAUUCGUUGAUGUUCGUGUAAUUUCCAGGGUAUCUUAUUCCAUCAACUUACUAAUCCUAAAUAUUAACGUGAUUAUUUGAUAAAAAGCAUGUACCGUGUGGCGUAUGCGUUAUUAUCGAAAAAUCGGCGGAACCAUCAGCAUUUCCAUAAAGCUCGUCUCUAUGUACCCUAGCAAAUUUUGCAAAAAUUGUAGUUCGUAUUACGUUGGUUUACAGUGGAUCAACGUAAUUCCACACAAAUGGUGUCGAAUCCAUCCAGUGACGUGGAGUAAUUAUUUUUCUUAUGUUCCUCUCUCUUAGGUAAUUAAUAGGUAUUUCAUAUCUCCUAGCAAGCACGCAUAAUUUCCUGUUUAUCUGUAAUGCCCAGCUUAUUUUUCUUAAUAUUACUUGGAAUCGAAAAAUGACAACAUAUUUGCAUAAUCCUAGGGGCACCGCCAUAUGCCUGUGAACGUGUGUACGUAAAAAUGAGAGCGUAGAGUACAUCUAUCGGCCGGUUUCUGAAACAGGUAGUGGGACUCCGUAAUUUCCGAGUAAUCAGUGUUAGUCUGAUUCUACAGUAUAAUAUUUGUCUGACUUUAUUGUAUACUAUUUGCCGAUUUUAUUGUAUAAUAUUUGUUUUAUUUUAAUAUAUAAUAUUUGUCUAAUUUUUUGCAUGAUAUUUGUCUGAUUUUAUUAUAUAAUAUUAAACACAGGAGAAGCUAUAAGUAGACAUCAGAAUAGGAAUGUUUGUGAUUGAUCAUUUAUACGACACCUUCGAAUAAUCGCUUAAAGAGAAAAAGGUUACGUCAAGCCUGUGUCUUUAUUGUGUAAGAGAAGCGACUGAGAAGCAAUGACAUUCCACUUGCGUUACGUCUGAUUUGCGAUCAGUACUCUACCAGACUUUCUUCUGUUUCAUGUUAAAUUAUGCGUCAUAAGCUGCGGAAAGAUUGUAAGAGAGACGUGUAAGAACUGUAUGAGAGUUGAGAAAACGUUGUUUGAAAGAAGUCCAAUAUGUGUGUAAAAGUUGUGUGAGACUUAUGUGAAAGAUACGUACAACUUGUGAGAAAAUUCUGUAGAAGUUGUGUAAAAAGUUUAGUCCGAAGGUUGUGUCCGAGGUUGUGUCUGAAGGUUGUGUCCGAGGUUGUGUCCGAGGUUGUGUCCGAGGUUGUGUCUGAAGGUUGUGUCCGAGGUUGUGUCUGAAGGUUGUGUCCGAGGUUGUGUCUGAAGGUUGUGUCCGAGGUUGUGUCUGAAGGUUGUGUCCGAGGUUGUGUCUGAAGGUUGUGUCCGAGGUUGUGUCUGAAGGUUGUGUCCGAGGUUGUGUCUGAAGGUUGUGUCCGAGGUUGUGUCUGAAGGUUGUGUCUGAAGGUUGUGUCCGAGGUUGUGUCUGAAGGUUGUGUCCGAGGUUGUGUCUGAAGGUUGUGUCUGAAGGUUGUGUCCAAGGUUGUGUCCGAGGUUGUGUCUGAAGGUUGUGUCCGAGGUUGUGUCCGAGGUUGUGUCUGAAGGUUGUGUCUGAAGGUUGUGUCCGAGGUUGUGUCCGAGGUUGUGUCUGAAGGUUGUGUCCGAGGUUGUGUCCGAGGUUGUGUCCGAGGUUGUGUCCGAGGUUGUGUCUGAAGGUUGUGUCCGAGGUUGUGUCCGAGGUUGUGUCCGAGGUUGUGUCCGAGGUUGUGUCCGAGGUUGUGUCCGAGGUUGUGUCUGAAGGUUGUGUCCGAGGUUGUGUCUGAAGGU